AUGAGUCCCAACCCCACCCCAGGCACCCCAACCUUGGGUCGGGCCCACCUGACCUUCCCAAAGAUGCGGUUGAGCAGGGGCCCGUCGUCCUCUGAGCAGCAUCGUGCUGGGGGCCAGGGCGGUGCGGUGGGACUGGCGACGAGGGCCAGCCCAGAGGCCGAGGACGGGCCCCUCCUGCCCUUCUCUGGUCCUGGAGGGUUCUUGCUGCUCCCGGGCCUCGGGGCCCUGCAUGGGGUCUGCUCCCCAGAGCUGCUGGGGCCCUUCCGGGACCCUCGGGCCCCUUCUCCCUCUUGCUGCUUCUCUUCCUCAUCAAGGGGACCCCUCAGCGCCACUACUGGAAGCCAGGACCUCCACAGGGGCUUCUGUGGUCUGGGGGCGGGUCUGGGCCAUGCCGCCCCUCCCUGCUCUUGGCCAUGUGGAGGGGUGACAGGGUUCAGAGAAGCUGCACCAGGAGCACCCCUACUUCUCAGGACCCAUAAAGCUGCUUAUGCUCUGCCACCCCGAGGGCUGAUGACCAGGGAUCGGGCCCUGAGGGGGAUUAGGGUAAGUGAGUCAGGCAGCCCAGGCCCUAAUCCGCCCUCUGCCUGCGGGUGGCCAGAUCAGCAGAGCAGAUCAGUCAAGGGAACCAUCCUCAGCAGCACAGGUGCCAGGACAGAGUGGCCACAGUGAGCCUCGGACUCCGGCUCUGCCACUCAUGAGCUGGGAGACCCAGCAGACUCACCUCUCUAAGUCUCAGUUGCCUCAUCUAUAAAAUGGGAGCAGUAUUGCUGAGCGUCAGAGAGCCCAGUUGUCUGACAUGAGCAGGACUCAGCUACCAAAGGACACGGGAAGCAUCUCAGGCAGGAGGAAGAGUGUGCACAAAGGUGGGAGGUGGGGGAGGACAAAUGACCCUCUGUGGGCGACCUCCUGACCGGAGCAGGGUGUGUGAAAGGAAGGAAGAGAGGCCAGAUCAUAGGGGCUUGGAAUCCCGGGUGAUUGAGGGUCACGGGGUGACAUCAGAGGAGGCGCACCCUGGGGACCCAGAGCCUGCUCUGAGCUGGGGGCCCAGGCCGAGGGCUUUCGGCCAUCUGGCCCUGUCAAGGAUAGGGGGCCUGGCUGGUCACUUGGCCCCACUGGGCUGGGGUUAGGGUUUCCCAGCGAGCAGCCCCAUGAAAGAUUGAUGUCCUCUUAGCUUGGGUUUCAUGCCAGCAGCCUGAGUGCCGCGGGCACCAUGCAGCAGGCCCGGCAUGGGGCUGUGUGGACGACUGGACCUCUGAGCAGGCAGACACCCUGCUCCUUCCAGCCAGCGGCCUGCACCUCACAGGUAAGCCAGGCCUCGCCAGUUGGAGCCUCAGUGGGUGCCCUGGGCUCUGAUCCAGUAAGGACUGGAGCUUGCAGAGUGGGGUCUGCCUGAGUAAGGGCCCUGGGGUGGGAGACCACAGGCUAAGGUCAAAUGGCUUGAGCUAUGAGCCACAGGCGGGACCCAGGCUUUCCGGGACAUCUGGUUUUCCACCUCAGAGGGCCUCUCUCCCCCACUAAGGAGGUAGGGUGAGGCAGCAGGCUUCUUGGGACUCAGCCCCUCAUCCUCAUCACGCUGCUGAGCCCUUACCCCUUUUCUAAUGAGUAACACCGGGGACAAGGAGCCCCCAGACUCCUGUCCACUCUUGAGCCCAGGGGACCUAAGCCUUUCCCUUUGGAAUCUUUCUGUUUGUUUGUUUUGGCUGCACCACGUGGCUUGCAGAAUCCUAGUCUCCCUACCAGGUACUGAACCCCUGUCCCCUGCGAUGAAAGCGUAGAUCUUUAACCAUUGGACCACCAAGGAAGUCUGAAUCUCAAAAUCUUGAAACCAGGAUACGGACAAAAGGGAGCCUGCAAUGCUUUGACCAUUUGGGGUUGUUUUGUUUUGGCGCACCAUGCAGCUUGAGGGAUCUCAGUCCCCACCAGGGACUGAACCCAAGCCCACAGCAGGAAAGGCCAGGUCCUAAUCAGUGGACCACUAGGGAUUUCCCAAGUGGUUUUAAACUGUGUUCCUGGAGUUCUAAGGGUGCUCUCCUCCUUUAACACACCUUUUAGCUCACACAGAAGUUCUGCUAUAGUAUCUUAUUGAAAUGAAUUUGAAAGCCUCUGGUUUGGUCUGCGUGGAUGCAGGUUCUGGGCAGCAAAAUAAUUAGAGUCCUGGUGCCCACAUUCCUGUCUCAGACCGUGCAUAAGUCACCUUCCUCUGCACCUUUCUCUGCUUACCUGUAGGAUGGAUUGCAGGAAGACUAGGUAAGGUAAUCUCUUUAAAGUCCCUGGCAAGGUUAACCACCCCAAGGUGAUGAUGAUGGCCCAGAGAGGGACAGCGACUUUCACAGAGAUGCUCAGCUUCCUCUCUCUCUUUUCAGUCAUUCAUGCCUUCAUUGAUUCACCAGGUGCCCUCCAUGUCCAGUAAGGACUGGAGCUUGCAGGUGGGGUCUGCCUGAGUAAGGGCCCUGGGGUGGGGAGACCACAGGCUAAAGGUCAAAUGGCUUGAGCUAUGAGCCACAGGCGGGACCCAGGCUUUCGGGACAUCUGGUUUUUCCACCUCAGAGGGCCUCUCUCCCCCACUAAGGAGGUAGGGUGAGGCAGCAGGCUUCUUGGGACUCAGCCCCUCAUCCUCAUCACGCUGCUGAGCCCCUUACCCCUUUUCUAAUGAGUAACACCGGGGACAAGGCCCCAGACUCCUGUCCACUCUUGAGCCCAGGGGACCUAAGCCUUUCCCUUUGGAAUCUUUCUGUUUGUUUGUUUUGGCUGCACCACGUGGCUUGCAGAAUCCUAGUCUCCCUACCAGGUACUGAACCCCUGUCCCCUCACGAUGGCGUAGAUCUUUAACCAUUGGACCACCAAGGAAGUCUGAAUCUCAAAAUCUUGAAACCAGGAUCUGGACAAAGGGCCUGCAAUGCUUUGACCAUUUGGGGUUGUUUUGUUUUGGCCGCACCAUGCAGCUUGAGGGAUCUCAGUCCCCACCAGGGACUGAACCCAAGCCCACAGCAGGAAAGGCCAGGUCCUAAUCAGUGGACCACUAGGGAUUUCCCAAGUGGUUUUAAACUGUGUUCCUGGAGUUCUAAGGGUGCUCUCCUCCUUUAACACACCCUUUAGCUCACACAGAAGUUCUGCUAUAGUAUCUUAUUGAAAUGAAUUUGAAAGCCUCUGGUUUGGUCUGCGUGGAUGCAACGGGAUUCUGGGCAGCAAAAUAAUUAGAGUCCUGGUGCCCACAUUCCUGUCUCAGACCGUGCAUAAGUCACCUUCCUCUGCACCUUUCUCUGCUUACCUGUAGGAUGGAUUGCAGGAAGACUAGGUAAGGUAAUCUCUUUAAAGUCCCUGGCAA
rnacentral:lncRNA from 1 species